UAUUCUGCCCCACGGGGAAGGAUGAGAACCUUCGACUAAGGUUCGACUCGAGCGCAGCGAGAGAACGUUGCCGCAGGCAACGGCCCGAAGGGCGAGGAGCGAUAGCGACGAGUUAUCCUUCCCCCACCACCA
rnacentral:sRNA from 1 species